rnacentral:rRNA from 1 species
CCUACGGGGGGCAGCAGUAAGGAAUAUUGGUCAAUGGACGCAAGUCUGAACCAGCCAUGCCGCGUGGAGGAUUAAGGCCCUCUGGGUUGUAAACUCCUUUUAUCUGGGAAGAAAUGUACUUUUUCUUGAGUACUUGACGGUACCAGAGGAAUAAGCACCGGCUAACUCCGUGCCAGCAGCCGCGGUAAUACGGAGGGUGCCGGCGUUACCCGGAUUCAAGGGGUUUAAAGGGGGCAGAGGAGGGAGGGGUGAAAUCUCCGGGCUUAACCCGGAAACUGCCGUUGAUACUAUUUGUCUUGAAUAUUGUGGAGGUAAGCGGAAUAUGUCAUGUAGCGGUGAAAUGCUUAGAUAUGACAUAGAACACCAAUUGCGAAGGCAGCUUACUACACAAUCAUUGACGCUGAGGCACGAAAGCGUGGGGAUCAAACAGGAUUAGAUACCCCUGUAGUC